ensembl:lncRNA
GAGUGAUCUGUCUAAAACCCCCAGCAGCCUGCAGCUCCGAGAGAGGGAGGAGCGAAAGAGAGAGAGAGAGAGAGAGGCUGCAGAGAGGAUGAAGAAAGGGAAAGAGUCAGAGAGCGCAAGAGAGAAGAGAGAGAGGAAAAGAGAGAGAGAGAGAGAGAGAGAGAGGCUGUAGCCACAGAGAGAGAAAGAGGUAGUGGGGAGAGAAGGGGAGAGCCAGAUGGAAAGAGAGAGCUGAAGGUGAGCAAGUGGACGCGAGGAACGGGAGCGGCGGCAGAAACCGCAUUCGCGCCGAAACACAUUCUAAUCGCUUUCUCGUUAAGCGAGCGGAGGGAGGGGCGGCUAAUGAGUUUCGCUGUAAGUAUAGGAGGUAAUUGAUGGAGAGAGAGAGAGAGAGCGAGACAGAAUGGGCGAGAGAGCUAAUGUCUGAGCUAAUGGAGAUGAACACAGGUCUGGCCUGGAAAAUGCCUACGGUUGGUUGAGACACAGCCUCGUUCUGGAAAAAUGUCAGACGACGACGGCUUGCGGACGAGAAGGCCCUGAAAGGGACUUAAUUCGUAACGGAAUUUGGACACGUUCGAAAAUUAGGACUAUUGUGUUGAGGAUACAUCGACGUGGGAUUUUGUACAAUUUACCAUGGAUCACAAUGGAUCAAAAAAAAAAAA